rnacentral:tmRNA from 1 species
UCCUUGCGCCAGCCAGCCAGCGACGAUUAUAUUGGAGGCGUCGCGAAAGCGACUAUGGCGAUAAACGCUUUACGGAAUAGACGUUGCGGACCCGGGGGCAGUGCCCGGCGCCUCCACCAAUUCCGGCGUUCCGUGUAGGUGACGCCGGCUGCGGGGGCGAAACAGGAUCGACGUGCGUGGUAAAGGUGGAGUUUUCGCCCGGCAUGGUACCGCCGUUAUCGGGCUACAUUUACAGAUGCCAACGAUAAUGAGGCAUAUGCUCUCGCCGCAUAAGGCCUGAGCGGGGUUCGGGAGGCGCCUGGCACCAGAAGCCUCCCACU